CCCUCCUGUGUUCACGGCCCCGUUCUCUACAGUAGCCAGUAUAUGGAAACAUUUUAAAUAUCUACCCUCCGAUGAGUAGGUAAGGACAACAUGGCACAGAUACGCCAUGAAGUAUUAUUCAGCCUCAAAAAAGGAAAUCCUGCUGUUGUGACAACGUGGAUGGACGCAGAGGACACUCAGACUUUCUCAUUCUGUACUGUGGGCUUUUAAAGCUGGACAUGGGUCCUUUUUUGGGUUUGCCUUUCUGACCACACCAUGGACUCGCGUGAUGGCGCUCUCCUGGGUCCGGCUGCUUUCACUUCGUGCGCAUUUCUGAGGCUC